GCCUACGUAGCUCAACGGUUAGAGCGCUUCGAUAUCUUAUUCCGAGUGACUCCAUGUUUAACGAGGAGACGUGGGUUUGAAUCCCACUGGAGGCA